CCCUAUGAUUUUUUUUGCAUCCUUUUUCUAUAAUAUUUUUGAUUUCUAUAGAGUCCACCCCACUCAAAUAACUCCAAAUACCAUUAGAAUGAUCACAGUAUUCAUCAUCAUGUGCGAUUUCCUUCAUAUAGACCUUAGAAUCUCUUUGUUUAGAUCUUUAGUUCUCUUAAAAAGGCAUCCAAGUGAGAAUGGCUGGUGGUACUUCUCACCUCGAAAGG
rnacentral:lncRNA from 1 species